rnacentral:ncRNA from 1 species
CCUGUCAUCGACAGGCCGGGAUGUGACCCACGCGGGUUGAACCACCUG